rnacentral:rRNA from 1 species
GAUGAACGCUGGCGGCGUGCCUAAUACAUGCAAGUCGAGCGAAUGGAUUAAGAGCUUGCUCUUAUGAAGUUAGCGGCGGACGGGUGAGUAACACGUGGGUGACCUGCCCAUAAGACUGGGAUAACUCCGGGAAACCGGGGCUAAUACCGGAUAACAUUUUGAACCGCAUGGUUCGAAAUUGAAAGGCGGCUUCGGCUGUCACUUAUGGAUGGACCCGCGUCGCAUUAGCUAGUUGGUGAGGUAACGGCUCACCAAGGCAACGAUGCGUAGCCGGCCUGAGAGGGUGAUCGGCCACACUGGGACUGGAACACGGCCCAGACUCCUACGGGAGGCAGCAGUAGGGAAUCGUCCGCAAUGGACGAAAGUCUGACGGAGCAACGCCGCGUGAGUGAUGAAGGCUUUCGGGUCGUAAAACUCUGUUGUUAGGGAAGAACAAGUGCUAGUUGAAUAAGCUGGCACCUUGACGGUACCUAACCAGAAAGCCACGGCUAACUACGUGCCAGCCGCCGCAGUAA